CCAACAAAGAGGCAUUCUAGGGCAGUUCCAACUGUACCUAAGACGAGCCGCUGAGCUAUGGUAUCAUCCGGCCAGGGGGAGGACAACAGCCACAAAGGCAGACAAGGCUAAGGGGAGGUGACAGCGACACAAAGGCACCGUAAACAUCCAGAGAAUGCUGUUUAUGAAGUUUGAAAGCUCACACCCUCUCAAAAGGAAACAUGGUAGUGCAAGAUCAGAAGAUGUGGAGAGACCUGGCGCAUAAAAUCAUCAAGAGUCAAGACUCAAGACAUGACUGAAUGGACAUCAUCAUGAUCAUCAUUGCAGACAUGUGAACAUCUGCCUCGCUUAUUGCUCAUUUUCUUCCAGCCAUGGCUGGCUUAAGUGAUAUAAAAGAAGCUUGUCAUUCUCCAUGGUCCCUGGAAUUACUUGAUGGUCUCCCUUUCAAAUACUAACCAGGACAAGAAGCAACGGAUGGAAACUAAUCAAGGAGAGAAGCAACCUAGAAC